rnacentral:rRNA from 1 species
AGACGAACCGUCCAAACGUUAUUCGGAAUUACUGGGCUUAAAGGGUGCGUAGGCGGCUUCGCAAGUUGGGUGUGAAAUCCCUCGGCUCAACCGAGGAAUGGCGCCCAAAACUGCGGAGCUCGAGGGAGACAGAGGUGAGUGGAACUUGUGGUGGAGCGGUGAAAUGCGUUGAUAUCACAAGGAACACCGGUGGCGAAAGCGGCUCACUGGGUCUCUUCUGACGCUGAGGCACGAAAGCUGGGGGAGCGAACGGGAUUAGAUACCCCGGUAGUCCCAGCUGUAAACGAUGAGCACUAGAUCGAAGGGUCCUCCAUAGCCUUUCGGUCGUAGCGAAAGUGUUAAGUGCUCCGCCUGGGGAGUAUGGUCGCAAGGCUGAA